AUUGAACGCUGGCGGCAGGCCUAACACAUGCAAGUCGAACGAGUGGCGGACGGGUGAGUAAUGUCUGGGAAACUGCCCGAUGGAGGGGGCUAACUACUGGAAACGGUAGCUAAUACCGCAUACCAUCGGAUUUGCCCAGAUGGGAUUAGCUAGUAGGUGGGGUAACGGCUCACCUAGGCGACGAUCCCUAGCUGGUCUGAGAGGAUGACCAGCAACACUGGAACUGAGGAACGGUCCAGACUCCUACGGGAGGCAGCAGUGGGGAAUCUUGCACAAUGGGCGCAAGCCUGAUGGAGCCAUGCCGGGUGUAUGAUGAAGGCCUUCGGGUUGUAAAGUACUUUCAGCGAGGAGGCGUUACUCGCAGAAGAAGCACCGGCUAACUCCGUGCCAGCAGCCGCGGUAAUAC
rnacentral:rRNA from 1 species